AGAUGUUGUUGCUCGGAAGCUGGAACUGAAAUACCCUGUGUUGAACCUGCAGCAAUGGGCAGAACGUACCUUGUUGAGGAAGCUGUUGGGCAGUACCUUUCUGACCUCAGUGUGAAGUUUAAGCCUUUUGUCACUGGGCUGUUAAUAGGGCAGUGUUCUCCGCAAAGAGACUACAUAAUUCGAGCUGCUCGAACACCUCCAAAAGAAGAGCAGAAGGAAGGUGACGCCAGUCCUUCAAAACUGGAUUCCAUUGACGAAGAGUGGAUCACUGCACAUGCCAGUCAGAUUUCUAGAAUGCUUCCUGGAGGCUUAUUAGUUCUUGGUGUGUUUAUAAUUGCAACUCCAGAACUGUUAAAAGAUAGUCAAAAUGCUUUACGCAGGCUGAUCUUUUCCAUAGAAAAGUCCUUGACCAAAAGGCGGCUCUGGAAACCUUCUGAGGAGGAUGUCUCAGACAGAGUAGCUCUUCAAGUUUGCUCUGCUACCAAAAAAAUAGUUUGCCGGACCUAUGAUGUACAAGAUCCAAAGGGUUCAGCUAAACCAGCAGACUGGAAGUAUCAAAGUGCUCUGUCUGCUUCCUGGUUAUCCUUGGGCUGCACAGUAAAUGUUAACAUCCACAUUCCACUUCUUGCAACUUCACCCAACCAUGACUUGACGAAGAAUACCAAGAAUGGAUUAAAUCGAUGGUCAAAGCAGAUAGAAGACAGCAUUUUUCUGAUCAAUGGUCAAGUUAAAGACAAUGAUACAGGACUUCUCGAAGGGCAGAAAAAAUUAAGGGGAAGUACUCAUUCCAGUACUCAGAUUUUUGAUGUCAAGGUUCUGACACAGCUGUCCCAGGGUUCAAGUCAUAGAUCAACAGCAGCAGUCCAGGUCUGCAGUGGUUCCAUAAAUCUCAAAGGUGCUGUGAAGUGUAGAGCCUAUGUAAAUAACAACAAGCCAAAAGUGAAAGAAGCUAUUCAGGCCUUGAAGAGAGACAUAAUAAACACAUUGAGUGAUCGCUGUGAAAUCCUGUUUGAGGAUCUCAUAAUAAAUGAAGGACGUUGUAAAAAAAAUUUUGAGAGGGUAUAUCAUGUCUUACCUCAAAGACUGUUUGUUCCUUUUGCUGGAUCCAGUGUGAUGCUCAGUGAUUAUAAGUUUGGUGAUGAGGCUGCUGGAGAAAUUCAGGAACGUUUUGUUGAGAUGUUGGACCAGUUUGUGCAAGCUGAAGAUAUCCACAUAGCAGAGGAAGUUAACACAGUUGGUAUUUGUCCAAUUUCUGAAAACAUGGAUGAUAAACAACAGAAACAACUGACGAAAGCAACAUUGCUGUUGAAACUUCAACAAAAUAUGGUGUUUUCAAGGGCCUCUCAGGGAAAAGUGAAGGCAAUAAUUGGAGAUUCUUUUUUCAGGCUCUCACAACGUGACAUCUCCAUGAUGGGAUCCUGACCUGAAGAGAAACUGAAUUUCUCACUCUAAAGCGGUCAAAAUGUGAAGCUAGCAAAUUAAAUAGAAACUGGUUUUACAAAUGAAGACAGCUAACAGCACAAACUGGAACCGUUUCCGUUUAUAUUUUUAACCGGUGGCUUUUUUGCAACUGGAUAAACAAAAAAACAUUAACAACCAAUGCAACAAGCAGUAUGAUGUCUGCUGUUGUUCACUCUGAAUUGGAAAGGAAAACAUCAAAUGUAUUUUCUCUGAAGGAGGAGCGUUCAGGAUGUCCCUGUGUUGCAGAUGAGCUGGGUGCACGGAGGCUGAGAGGUGAAUGGAAGGGGCCUUCCUGGAGUGACACAAGGAGGCCUGGGCCUGGCUUCUGGGGGUUUUACCCUCCCCAGCAUCAGCUGGGGGGCAGCCUGGGGGGCAUGUGUAUCUAAACCACCUGCUGUGCUCAGUGCACAUAAUUGUGAUGAGGAAGUUCUCUAGUGGUAAGAAGGGUGGUGAUGGACAUAUGUAGCAAUGAAAGCAGCAAGACAGCUGUUGACCUGCCUGCAUGGCUUGACCUGACAGCAAAGCAGCGGUUUGAACUGCUGAGACAGUUUCUUCUGCCAGGAGUCACACUUGUUCUUGGGAGAGUCUUCCACAGGGUACCAUGUAAAAAUGUUGGGCUGUGUGCAUUUUGGCUCAAAGAGGUGUUUGGGAGGAUCUGACCUCAGCUUCAUGCUUGGACACGAUGCUAAUCAAAAGCAGGCUGACAGCUGUAGUACCCCAAGCCCUGCUGGUGGCCCUGGACUCUGCCCUCAGUUCUCCAGUAUGUGGUAAUGCCUUGAAAGUCUUUCUCAGAAGGGUUUUUCUCGUAGCUGCUUCUAGGAAAUUAGGCAUAGGAAGCCUUUUCAUUAUUCAAGAAAUUCAUCUUUUUCAUAAUAGCCACCAUGUCAAACUUGAGAAAGCUGAAAAAAAUCCUGUCUUGUUUUCCUGGGAGUUUUCUGUCCGUAUUUUAGUGAAACAUGUUUGUAGAUUGCAGCGACGCAGGCAGCGCAUCACUUCUGCUAAAAAGUCUGGGGAUUUUUCAGUGAUGUUCAGUUCCCAUAAAUGUGCUCAGUGCAAGGUCCUCAGGAAGUUUCCCAUGAGGGGGAUGAAGGCUGCGGUCGUGCUGUAUGGAGGCCGUAGCUCUGCUCCUGGUGGGCAGGUGGGCCUCAUCCCUGUUCUACAGAUGGGGACGGUGGUGGGCUGUGAUUCUGGGGAGUGAAUGCAGUACUCCAUGAGCAGCCUGGGGGCGGGGGGAAUGGAAAAAAAUCCUUCAAAAGGGAACACUUGUGUGGGCAUGGGUUUCCUGGAAGGUCUGCCAGGAGGGAGGAUAAGGAAUUAAAAAGAGCAUUGUAGAUGGGGUGGUCUGUUCUGAAUACAUCAAUGAAAUUUAACAAUUUUCUGUACAAGACUCUUUUUAAUUGGCAGAGGUUUUGAAAAAGACUCCCAGGCUCAUGACCUUGGAGUCCGUUGCACAAUACUCCAGCUUGAAUUAAAUAAAGGAUUCUCAUGAGAAGUAGCUGCUAAAAUUCUCGAAUUAGUGGAACUUUUGCAUAAAAUCAACAUUGAAAUCUGCUCAGAACAAAAUACUUGGUUUUCAAAAAAUGUGGUUGCUGGCGUAGAAAGGUACAUUUGAUUUCCUCAGCAGGACAAGAGAAGAUACUGCUGUUGGUGCUUCUGCUUUGAGGUGGGUAUCUUGUUUCCAGGGCAUCUCUGCUGAGAGAUGCUCUGCCUGCACAGCAUGCGGCUGUCCCCAUUCACCCAUAACUGGGGCCAGACGCACGCCCUGACGUGUGCAGGCACAUUGCUGGAGAAUGUUGAGACCUGGCAUUAUUUUCACAAAACAAAAGCCUGGGUCCUCAGCCAGCUUUGCUUCUAAUCCAGCAAUUUCACUGGGGGCUAUGCAUACUGCCUGCUCCUUUUGCUUCCUUUUGCCUGCCAUACCACUUUAGAGUUAUGGCUGACAUAACUGAUUUAUAUAUAGAUUUAAUUGCAGGUAAUAUUUUCUCUUUCCUUUCUGGUGCCUACUUAGACCAAAUGUUGGAUCACUCUGCCUUCAAAAGACCUUUUUUUGGACAGCGUCUUCUGCAUUGCUGAAGCAUCUUGUUUGUUUCCCUCACAGGUACCUGUUGCCAUCAGAACAUUUAUAUCAAAUUCAUGUGGAUCCUACACUCAAGUACAGCAAAAGUAAAACAUUUAGUGCUGUCUGUCACCAGAAGGAAGCAAGAGCAUCCUUGCACCACUGCAUGUCACGUCUAUGCAAUACAUUCACAAAUAGUUGUGGAGCAUGGCAGUAAUGGAGCACUGUUUCGGAUUACAUCCUCCAAGAAAAGCCGCUGCCUGCAUGUGAUUUAUUCUGGGUCUCUCUGAAGCUGCAGAUGUCCAUUAAUCAAAAGAAGUUUUAAAGUACCUGUUCAAAUAGAAUGAGCAGAAUGGAUUCUGCCAGCCUGGGACGCAAGCUGGUGAAGGAUAAUGAAUAAGACAUUCUCCUACCAUGCUUUGAAGCUGGAUUUUUAUAGAAUAUGAACUUGCUGGCUUGAAGUUUUACGAGGCCAUUAGAAACACAAAAUAAGUUCAGACUUCAGAAACAAAGUUGGCCAGUAAAACUGCCUAUAAGGCUAACUCACAGUAAAUAGUAAUGCAGCAAGCAUGUUAUUAAGUGCUCUGUUCCUGGUGCUCUUUUUUUGGACUGUAAGCUUUGGCUAUACUACAGCUCCUCAUCUGUGAAUGGUAUUUUGUAAUUAAAUUAUCACUAUUGAUACAUUUUAAAAGAGAGGCCAAAUAGAAUUUAGAGUAUGUUUGUGGGCGCUACAAAUGUUUUAAGUUAAAAACUUCUAUGAAGUUUUUAUAACAAAAACACAAACAACAACAAAGAAAAACACCCAGAUACUGAGAAGCACUGGUACUGAGAUGUACCCACAGCAGGCAAAAGUAAGUAAGGGCUAAUAAACGUGCUCACAUGUGGCACAUGCCAAGGCGUACCUGAGACCUAACCUGCCAAGUCCAUGGACUCCACUGCAGCCCCUAUCCAGGUGUGAAGCACAUGUGCCGUCUGAAGAGGUGUGAAAAUUGAUGUCUUUUGGAUACAGAAUGGAGAAUAAAAUAGAAAGGCAAUGCUCCGUUGCAGGAGGAUCAGUCCUAGGCUCUGAUGGUGUCAGGCCCUGGCCAUGGUGCAGAUUUCCUGACUUUUGUCCCCAGAACUGCAUGUUGGUGGACACACGUUGUGAGGUGUUGGUUUGAAGGGAUGUUUUGUGUGCUUGAAAUGUUUUGGCUUGAGGCAGCAGGAGGACUGUGCCUAUUCUUGGUGCUGAGCUGAGCGUGAGUGAUGAGCAACCUUUUCUUUUGCAUUCUUCCAACAAGGGCAGCUCUUGGUAGUGCCUUACUCUACUCGAUGCACAAAGCCUUGGCAGAGGCAAGCUUCUUUGGGUUUUGUGCUGUAUUCCUCCUGGGUUUGUCCCGCAUCAGAAAUAGGUUUAUUAGCAAGCAUGAAAUCUAAUGAUACUAAUUUUACCCAAGAUUAUGUCUGUAAGACAGUAGCUCCUAUGUCCUUCUUCCAUUUUUAUAUUUUUUAAAUUCAAAGUGUAUAAUAAAUUUUUAAGCACUUGAAGAAAUUAAUGGCCUUUCACAUCUUUAAUUUUGUCUAGAGGAAGGAGGGGAUGUACUUCCCUUCCAGAAGCAUUUUCUUCAUCAGUAUGUGCUUGAAGCCUGUAACGCUGCGGUGUGAAGUUACCAACAGGUGGACCAUAGACAUCUGCUCACUGAUACAGCAGUGAUCUGUGAUUGAUAAGAGAGACUGAGGAUUCCCAGUCCAGAUCCUUAUGUUAGCUCAGGCACUACAUCUGUAAGAAGUCAUAAAUUGCCUACCAUCUACUAUUUCUCCCUAAAUUUCUCGUAGGAGGAGACAUAGUCUUCUGAUAUCAUUCAGUCUCCACUUGGUUGUCCAAGUUGUGCUGUGCUCACUUGGACCUCAAAACUAACCCCUUGUGUUUAGGUCAUCACAGUCUGGCUGCUGGGAAGCUGAGCAGGGAGAAGUCCGUGCAGGGAGCUGAGCUCUGUAAAACUCAUCUGAGAAAGUCAAUUUCCCAUCCUUCCUAUGUUCUUCUGAGGGGAAACAUAAAAAGGAAAGAGAGAAUAAAUAAAUAAAUAAAUAGAUAGAUAGAUAAUGCUGCAAUGAAAAGGGAUCUUGCUUUCAUCUCAUGGAAAGCCUUCUAUGAAGAAAGUAGUGGCUAAAUACUUACAUUUCCUGGCAUUAUAUUGAGGCAAUUGCACUAAUGCGAUCUUAUACACCUGAUAGAACUUGCACCAAGAGGAAGCCUGGUGAGGCUGGAGAACCUCCUCCACAAAUACAGUAAAGUGUCUGUGAGAUUGCAGGAAGCUCCACAGAAAGUUUAGGCACUUAGAAAAAUGUUAAUCAGAAUCAGAUAAAGACUAGAAACUGAUGAUAAGUCUUUCCCAAAAUGUUUAUCCCCUCCCCUCUUUUGAAGAGCCUGUUCUGCAUCAAGAAACUUCAAAACAGGGAACAAUUUUGUAAAAUUAAGCAUUUUCAUGAAAUAGCUGAGGUCAAUAAAAUGAUAUUAAAAAAGACUUUUUCAGAAACCCAAUUAACCCUACUUUCUUCUUUUUUCUUAUUUAACUGAAGUAGUGAGGAGAAUGCUGUAGCCUUGUCAUCGUCUGGGCCAGAAGUGUAGAUGAAAACAUUUGCCUAACCUUAGUCUUGAAAAAGGCCAGUUCCUACAGCUUUCUUUUAUUUUUUGUUGGUGAGCUGUGGGUGACUCAGCUGAUGGCUAUUAGUGAUUUUAGUAUGUGUGCUAAUUGUGGAAUUGAACAAAUUGUAUGCUUUCUAAAGAUCUUAAUCUAGAGUCAUUAGGCUGUUCCGUUUGGGUUGUGCUGGUAUAGAAAAGGGGAAUUCGGUAAUUGCCAUAGAAAUUUUUGGGAGAACUAGUUCACAGAAUGUAAAUGCUGUGUGGUAUGACUGGAAUUAAGAUGUGAAACAACAAUGGACUUUGAACAGAUGGCUCAGCGAUGAUGAAAUGCUAACAUUUAAAUAUGAGCAAAUCUCCUGCAAUAUUAAAGUAAGAAGGGCAAGACUUCACAGGUUCGGGAUGAGAUAAUAGUUGAUAUAUAAUAGAUAAUAUAAUGAACUUAUUCUAAAUUUAGCAGUCUUUAAGAAAGUCUUGCCUAAAUGAGGUUUGUACCACCCAUCUUGAGCAUCCAUCUGUCUGAGUGGAGGGAUUCACACUCUGAAGAGAUUCACCUCUUAUCUGCUGACCACAGAUGGAGGUCAGAUGACCAGACUGCUCAGCUUUUACACCAAUAAAGUGAAGCGAGAAGAAUCUCAGCCAAAGGGCUCCAGCUUUGUAUUUCUUCUUAUUAUUUGUGUAUUUUGACACCAAGCACUACAGCCACUUUGCUUACUGGAGAGAUGUUUUAAGUUACUGUAGAGGAACUCUCUUAAAACUGCAGUUACGAAGCUUCACUUACAAAUUAGGGCAGCCUGUAACAAAAGCUAAACUUGGCUCUCUGGAACAGAAGUUUCGUCUUUACUCUGGGGCUUGAAUUUUACAUCUAUGUGUAGAGAUCCAUCUUGCAGUCUGAGAGGCUCCUUCUGGCAAGAAGCUCCAUGUUUUUAAUUCAAGACUGGUGAGAAUACUGUGCUUCUUUCUGGGACUAGUUUCCUUUCUUCUCAGGCAAGAAGACCUCUAGGAAAGCACAAAGGCUUCAUAUGUCUGCCCAGAGGCAUGCGGCAAACUAGGGAAGAGAGGUGGGGCAGCAGGAAAAGUGUGUGUUGAAUAUCAUUACCUGGAUCAUUGCUGACCAUGCUGCUGGGGAAGGGGGACAUGAGCUUUUCUCACCAGGUUAGACGUGGGCUGAAACCGUGGACUUGGACAGUGUAAAGAUUAACCUCUUGCAGUCUGGUCUCUUCCUCUCCUGUAGAGUAAAAGCUGAUUUUGCGGUGGGUUAAAAUAUCUGUCCCCCAUUACCCACCACUUAGAUAGUUUUUUAAUUAACUUGCUCAACUCACAGGAAAAAAAUGUUCUGUUUGAGGUAUGGAGGGAACUGUGUGUGUAAGUUUCUAGUGCAGACAAAAUAUCAGACAUGCUGUGAACCUUUAAAAAUUUUGCUUUUGUACCAUAUUAAAUGUGAUAAGCACCUGAAUAUAGUAAGGCAGUGAAUCUACCUUCAUUAUAUCUUAAUAGAACUAAGACAGUGGUCCUUAAUCAACUUUCCUCCUGCCCAGAAGCCAAAACCCUUCCCAUGCAGCUGAAGUGCUGGGGGAGAGCAGCCCUUCACCAAUAUGGGAUGAAGCUCCAGGAGCAGCCUCGUGCAUCCAGACCUAUCCCACACAACAGUGCUGCACUCCUGGCACAUGGCUCAUCACCUACGGCACAUCUUUCCUUGUGUUCAGAUUGCCUGUGGCAUGGGAAGGGCCUGCAACCAUGGGAUGAAGAACUAGAUGUGAUGGAUCUUGGUGGGGGGAGGGCAAAGUCAAAAUAUCCAUGAAAUGAUUUUUUUUUUUAGUUAAAUCUGGACAUUGUAAGGCUCUUACUUCUAUCUAUGUAGUGACUGUAUCUCUAUUGGAUUUAAACAGGGUUUCAAACAAUAUAGACCUUGAAGACUCAUCUGAAUAUCUAGUUCCCUCCAUUGCUUCUGCGCUUGUCCAUGCAAAAUUGCUUGUUCCUGUGGCCCAAAUCUAGGUCUCAUGAAGGCAGCUCGUCAAAGCUCUGUGUGGUUUUUUAAGGCAGUGUUAGGUGGAUUGUAUUUUGGUAUAUGACAGCUGCACAGAAUUCAUACAGCUCUCAAUCCACCAAAAUCACUUUCAUUUGUGAUGAGACUUUUUAGUCCGUAAUUAUAUUCAUAAACAUGCUUUAGAAAGAACCCAAGCCCACAAAUAAAACAAACUCUAACUUUGACCUUUGCUUUUAGAGUACAGGGAAAACCCCCCAAAACUAAUGGUUGAAACUUGAAGUAUAUAUUUGAAAUGAAAUGCAAUUUCAGCUCCCAAGUUUCCUCAUUCUGUAUAUUUUAAGACCAAUACUUCAUGUGAUGAGCAUUCAAAAACAGUUUCCUCUUGCAAGAUGCUGCAUAUUUUGAUUAAUUUCUCCCUUUUCUCCUUGAACUCUUAUGUGUAAGAGUCAAUGCAUUCAGGAUACACUAAAGUGACACAUGGUAGCUUGAUUUCAGAUUUUUCUAGGGGGGGAAGUUAAUUUAGUUAUUUGAGGUUAUCACUGGACAAACUAGACUUGUUUAAUGUGGAACUGAGAGAGUAACUGGCUAGGCUGUAAUCUUUGAAGUUGAAGCUGCACAAUUCGUGGUUUGAAGUCCUGAUAGAAGAUGUAAAAUCAUUCAUUUCAAAUAUUUUUUAAUUAGGUUAAAUUAGAUCAUUAGUCAUGUUUGUAUUGUAUACUAAGUUGAGAUAGAUGAGAUGCUUAGCUCUUUACUGAGCUGAAUAAGGAAAGGUAGCAGGUUGUAAGUGAGAUUGUGCUCCUUUCCCAUGGGAAAUUUAAGCUAAUACUAGACACAGAGCAUGUUAGCAUCUGCGGGGUUAUUUCACUGUUGCUAUUAUUUUAUCAGUCAUGAAAUAGAAUUCUCUGCUUCACUUUUCUGAGGACAGGCUUAUCUGAAUUCUGGAAGGCAAAGUGCCUCUGAGUCAGAUGUGGUCAGGGACAGAUAUGGUUGGAGUGUUGCAUGCCGUUUGCAAAUCACAUCUCACCAAGAAAAAAAAAAUAAAAAUCUCAUUUCCUUAGA